rnacentral:rRNA from 1 species
GUCUAAGGUCAUGUCACCCAGAAUGUGCCUGAUCUCAGCUGAUUUAUGAAGCCAAGCAGGGUUGGGUCUGGUUAGUACUUUCCUGGUGACCUUUAAAACAUACUCCGCAGAUGUCCAAGCACCACUUUAGAGG